ACGAACGCUGGCGGCGUGCUUAACACCUGCAAGUCGUACGGUAAGGCCCUUUCGGGGGUACACGAGUGGCGAACGGGUGAGUAACACGUGAGUAACCUGCCCACAACUUUGGGAUAACGCUAGGAAACUGGUGCUAAUACUGGAUAUGUGCUCCUGCUGCAUGGUGGGGGUUGGAAAGCUCCGGCGGUUGUGGAUGGACUCGCGGCCUAUCAGCUUGUUGGUGGGGUAGUGGCCUACCAAGGCGGCGGCGGGUAGCCGGCCUGGGAGGGUGACCGGCCACAUUGGGACUGAGAUACGGCCCAGACUCCUACGGGGGGCAGCAGUGGGGAAUAUUGCACAAUGGGCGCGAGCCUGAUGCAGCAACGCCGCGGGCGGGAUGACGGCCUUCGGGUUGUAAACCGCUUUCAGCAGGGACGAAGCUUUUUGUGACGGUACCUGCAGAAGAAGCACCGGCUAACUACGUG
rnacentral:rRNA from 1 species